AGUUUCUCUGUUCAGGCUCCAGCUUCACAAGUUAUGCCCAUUCUUAAAAUGUAACAAGUUUAGUCUCAGUAGAUCAAUGGCAGUGUAAGCCCAGUAUCCAAAGGAAACUACUACAAGUCAGAGACUGUUACGUUACACUGAUUUUCUGCAGUAAAAUUAGCACAUCAUGUGAAAUUUAUUUCCAUAGUGUUUCUCAAAUCUGUAAACACGCCUCCCUAGUCUGAAAUCCAAGACCUCUCUAUUCUGGAUUAUUCAGUAGUUCCUAAUGUACUUCCCUGCACACUGCAGCCAUAGUGAUAGGAAUCUGCUCUCUUAAUUCUCUGCUCUUCUUUUCCAAUAGGGAAGGAGUCCAGCUUCCUUACUGUGACUCUCCUCAGUGAGUAGGCAUCUGCUCAUUGCUCCAACUUCUCUUGUCUC
rnacentral:lncRNA from 1 species